rnacentral:rRNA from 1 species
GACAGAGGGUGCAAACGUUGUUCGGAAUUACUGGGCGUAAAGCGCGUGUAGGCUGCUUGGAAAGUCGGAUGUGAAAGCCCUGGGCUCAACCUAGGAAGUGCAUUCGAAACUUCUGAGCUGGAGUUCUGGAGAGGAAGGCGGAAUUCUCGGUGUAGAGGUGAAAUUCGUAGAUAUCGAGAGGAACACCGGUGGCGAAGGCGGCCUUCUGGACAGUGACUGGCGCUGAGACGCGAAAGCGUGGGGAGCAAACAGG